CCUGCCAGUAGUCAUAUGCUUGUCUCAAAGAUUAAGCCAUGCAUGUCUAAGUACGCACGGCCGGUACAGUGAAACUGCGAAUGGCUCAUUAAAUCAGUUAUGGUUCCUUAGAUCGUACCCACGUUACAUGGAUAACUGUGGUAAUUCUAGAGCUAAUACAUGCCGACGGGCGCUGACCCCCUUCGCGGGGGGGAUGCGUGCAUUUAUCAGAUCAAAACCAACCCGGUCAGCCCCUCUCCGGCCCCGGCCGGGGGGCGGGCGCCGGCGGCUUUGGUGACUCUAGAUAACCUCGGGCCGAUCGCACGCCCCCCGUGGCGGCGACGACCCAUUCGAACGUCUGCCCUAUCAACUUUCGAUGGUAGUCGCCGUGCCUACCAUGGUGACCACGGGUGACGGGGAAUCAGGGUUCGAUUCCG
rnacentral:rRNA from 15 species